GUCCCCAGGCAGGCAGCGUUGGGAGAGGGGGAAAUGAACAGAAGACAUAGUGACCAUCCAGAGAAUGCUGAAGAAGCAAAAUUACAAGCAAGGGAUCCUCGCCUAGGACAAAAGUCUGGCUGUUCCGACUCUUUAAGCAAAUGACUGCAGAAAUGGGCAAGCAGGUUGAUAUUCUGGCGGUGGCAAGAUGGCAAAGACUAAGAUGAAAGAAAAGCUGCUUCCUGCCGCAACCCAGAAGACAAGAGGUGAGCAUAUCCUAGUUCCCCGGGGCCUUCCUCAGCGGAAACCAGCCCUGGCUUCAGGCAAACUCACUC
rnacentral:lncRNA from 1 species